rnacentral:rRNA from 1 species
UACGGAGGGGGCUAGCGUUGUUCGGAAUUACUGGGCGUAAAGCGCGCGUAGGCGGACCUGCAAGUCGGGGGUGAAAGCCCGAGGCUCAACCUCGGAACUGCCUUCGAUACUGCGGGUCUCGAGUCCGGGAGAGGUGAGUGGAAUUCCUAGUGUAGAGGUGAAAUGCGCAGAUAUCGGGAGGAACACCAAUGGCGAAGGCAGCUCGCUGGGACGUUACUGACGCUGAGACGCGAAAGCGUGGGGAGCAAACAGG